UGGGGAAUAUUGGACAAUGGGCGCAAGCCUGAUCCAGCCAUGCCGCGUGAGUGAUGAAGGCCUUAGGGUUGUAAAGCUCUUUUAGCAGGGAAGAUAAUGACGGUACCUGCAGAAAAAGCCCCGGCUAACUUCGUGCCAGCAGCCGCGGUAAUACGAAGGGGGCUAGCGUUGCUCGGAAUUACUGGGCGUAAAGCGCACGUAGGCGGACUCUUAAGUCGGUGGUGAAAUCCUGGAGCUCAACUCCAGAACUGCCUUCGAUACUGGGAGUCUUGAGUUCGGGAGAGGUGAGUGGAACUGCGAGUGUAGAGGUGAAAUUCGUAGAUAUUCGCAAGAACACCAGUGGCUAAGGCGGCUCACUGGCCCGAUACUGACGCUGAGGUGCGAAAGCGUGGGGAGCAAACA
rnacentral:rRNA from 1 species